AUGAAUGCAGCAGCCAAAGCUGGAAAACUGGCUCGAGCACCUGCCGACCUCGGGAAAGUUGGGGCCCCAGGAGAUGUAGCUCCCGGUGCCCCAGUGGCCGCCCCACUGGUGAAAGAAACUCCAAGAGGUCCUAUUGGACCCAUGCAGCCGGUGGCAGUAUGUACAGGGGCGCUUUCUGGGUAAAGGAGGCUUCGCCAAAUGCUUUGAGAUCUCAGACACAGACACAAAAGUGGUAUUCGCAGGCAAGAUUGUGCCUAAGUCUUUGCUGCUUAAGCCCCACCAGAAGGAGAAGAUGUUUAUGGAGAUCUCAAUUCACCGCAGCCUCGCCCACCAACAUGUCAUAGGCUUCCAUGACUUUUUCAAGGACAGCAACUUUGUGUUUGUAGUUUUGAAGCUCUGUCGCAGGAGGUCCCUCCUGGAGCUGCACAAGAGGAGGAAGGCACUGACUGAGCCUGAUGCCCGCUACUACUGCGAAAGAUAGUCCUGGGCUGCCAGUACCUGCACCGCAAUCAGGUCAUUCACAGGGACCUCAAGCUGGGCAACCUCUUCCUGAAUGAGGAUCUGGAGGUGAAAUAGGGGAUUUUGGCCUGGCGACCAAAAUGGAAUAUGAAGAGGAACGAAAGAAGACCUUGUGUGGCACUCCUAACUACAUAGCUCCUGAGGUGCUGAGCAAGAAGGGACACAGUUUUGAGGUGGAUAUGUGGUCCAUCGGGUACAUCAUGUAUACCUUGCUAGUGGGCAAGCCACCCUUUGAGACCUCGUGCCUAAAAGAGACCUACCUCCAGAUCAAGAAAAAUGAAUACAGUAUUCCCGAGCACAUCAACCCAGUGGCCGCCUCCCUCGUCCAGAAGAUGCUUCAGACAGACCCCACUGCCUGCCCCACCAUUCACGAGUUGCUCAGUGACGAGUUCUUCACUUUGGGCUACAUCCCCACCCGUCUCCCUAUUACCUGCCUCACUAUCCCAACAAGGUUUUCAAUCGCUCCCAGCAGCCUGGACCCCAGCAGCAGGAAGCCUCUCAAAGUCCUCAAUAAAGGCAUGGAGAACCCCCUGCCUGACCGUCCCCGGGAGAAAGAAGAACCAGUGGUCCAGGAGACAGAUGAGGCCAUUGAGUGCCACCUUAGUGACUUGCUACAGCAGCUGACCAGUGUCAACGCCUCCAAGCCCUCGAAGUGCGGGGUGGUGCGGCAAGAGGAAGCUGAGGAUCCUGCCUGCACCCCCAUCUUCUGGGUCAGCAAGUGGGUAGACUAUUCGGAUAAGUAUGGCCUUGGGUAUCAGCUGUGUGGCAACAGUGUGGGGGUGCUUUUUAAUGACUCAACACACCUCAUUCUCUACAAUGAAGGGGACAGCCUGCAGUACAUAGAGCGUAAUGGCAUGGAGUCCUACCUCACUGUGAGCUCCCAUCCCAAUUCCUUGAUGAAGAAGAUCACUCUCCUCAACUAUUUCCACAAUUACAUGAGUGAGCACCUGCUGAAGGCAGGGGCCAACAUCACACCUCAGGAAGGCGACGAGCUGGCCUAGCUGCCCUACCUACGAACGUGGUUCCGCAUGCGCAGUGCCAUCAUCCUGCACCUCAGCAACGGCACCGUUCAGAUUAACUUCUUCCAGGACCACACCAAACUUAUCCUGUGCCCCUUGAUGGCAGCAGUGACCUACAUCAACGAGAAGAGGGACUUCCAAACAUACCGCCUGAGCCUCCUGGAGGAGUAUGGCUGCUGCAAGGCCAGCCGCCUCCGUUAUGCCCUCACCAUGGUAGACAAGCUGCUGAGCUCCCGCUCCGCCAGCAACCGCCUCAAGGCCUCCCUAGGUCUCUCUUCUUCGGACUGGUGCCCCUUCACUCUGCUAGCUCUGAGCACGCACUGUGGGCUCCUGGGGGCUGCUGUUCAGUGCCCCUGGCCCUGGGGGCUGGGCAGGAGCAGGGCCCCCUUUGAAGGGGUUGCUGUGUGUAAGUUAUUUUGUACAUGUCUAGGUGUGGGUUUACAUCCGCUUCCCUGUCCUCGCUCGGCCCACUGUAUGAAUUGUAUAAAUAUUUCUAUUAAAUUGGGACUGCUCUUUCCUUAG